GCAGAGCCCAGGUGGAGCACCAGUGGAAAACACCCCGCAGACCCUGAGAAGAACCAAAGCAGGAGAGGGGCUGCGGUGGGUGAGAGAGGCAAAGUGCCCUUUGAAGCAGGGGACGCCCUGCUGGCACUGCCUGUCGCAUCCACCGCCGGCGAGUUCCUCCUCUCUGCUCUCCUUUGGGCGGAUGGCCGUCUCGCAGGGGGCAAUCAGUCAUAACCCAUCAGCUUAGGAAGGUUCCUUUCCCACUCGUGGCACUGUCUGAAAGAGAUGCUGUGUGAGUGUGUAUACAUCGACUGAAAGCAUCGUGACCUUCUCUGUAACUCUUUUCGUGUGUUUUCUUUGUCUUACCAAUCGAGGCCUUGACUGAGUGAUGGUGUUAUUAAUAUAAUUGCUGCUCUAAGUUUAUACUGUGGUAAUAGGGGAAAGUUCUAAGGGAGGUUGGAAAGCUAAAAAAAGAAACCUGUGAAUGUAUGUGGGGAUCUCUUUGGGGGUUUUGCUGAAUGCAUUCAGAAUUUGCAUCUAAUAGGGUCAGUUUGUCACAUUGCCUUUCUCUGUGCUUUAAUUACUGUUCCAUGCUUGUUGCAGUGUACGCAAAAAAGGAUACAGGAUGCAAUGAAUCGUGCCUUUUUUAUUAAGAAAGAAAGGGGAGAUGGAAGAUGAAACUGUGGAGGAGUCACCAAAGAGCUUAACAGAAUCCUUUGUAGCCCUCAUCACUGUGAAGCCUUGGGAGUCUGCAGUGUAAGACAAAGGACAGACGGGGCCUGUCAAUCUAGAUAUCCUGGAUAUCUAGAUAUCUAGAAAGACUGGCUAAAAUGGAGAAGCAGGAGGACAGUGUGGUGGAGGAACUGUCUCUACUGAUUAACUGGGAUGCACCCGUGGUGCUGUCAGCAACCCCUGAUGGAUAUCAGGGUGAUCAGAAGAGUCGACUGAAGGAGCUGAUUCAGCUGACCCAAGGUGAUGAACCCUGCUCCUCACCUGGACCAUCGACACUCUCAGCAACUCAAGGCAAACACUGUUGAUUCCGUGGUAUUCACAGCACGGACUGAGCUGAUAUUUCACUGAAGGAAACGUCAACGGACCGUCCUUUUGCUGGGCACACACUCUGAGCGAUCUCAGGACAGCACGAAGAAGCCUCCAAGGACUUGCAGAUCAUCAGGAAUUGAGAGCAGAAUGGAUCACAUGGUGGUCAUUCUUAAUGUUGUCUGAGAUCCCUGAUUAAGUCUGUAGGCCAGACUCCACUUUGUUUUUGUUGUUUUAAAAAGGCAGUGUGUGUGCAAGCAAAAAGAGGCGUUGGAGCGUUCCCUCUCUACGUACAUGCAGGACACAUCCAUGGCAGAGCACAGUGCCAGAAGUAUUCAUCUCCCACAAGCUCCUUGUGGCCGAUCCACCACCUGUGGGUUCUGCAACACAGCUGUACUUAUUCUUGUACUCUCAAUGGGAAUAUGGUACCGAGACA
ensembl:lncRNA